rnacentral:rRNA from 1 species
AACGAACGCUGGCGGCAGGCUUAACACAUGCAAGUCGAACGAUAUAGUGGCAGACGGGUGAGUAACGCGUGGAAACGUGCCUUUCACUACGGAAUAGCUUUUGGAAACGAAAGGUAAUACCGUAUACGCCCUCCGGGGGAAAGAUUUAUCGGUGAAAGAUCGGUCCGCGUUAGAUUAGCUAGUUGGUGAGGUAACGGCUCACCAAGGCUACGAUCUAUAGCUGGUCUGAGAGGAUGAUCAGCCACACUGGAACUGAGACACGGUCCAGACUCCUACGGGAGGCAGCAGUGGGGAAUAUUGCACAAUGGGCGCAAGCCUGAUGCAGCCAUGCCGCGUGAAUGAUGAAGGCCUUAGGGUUGUAAAAUUCUUUCGCCAAGGAUGAUAAUGACAGUACUUGGUAAAGAAGCCCCGGCUAACUUCG